AGCGUAGGAGACAAACGUUAUCCGGAGUUACUGGGCGUAAAGGGCGUGUAGGUGGUUUUGUAAGUCUGGCGUGAAAUUUUUCGGCUUAACCGGGAAGGUCGUCGGAUACUGCAAGGCUAGAGGACGGUAGAGGCGUGUGGAAUUCCGGGUGUAGUGGUGAAAUGCGUAGAGAUCCGGAGGAACACCAGUGGCGAAGGCGACACGCUGGGCCGUACCUGACACUGAUGCGCGACAGCAUGGGGAGCAAACAGG
rnacentral:rRNA from 1 species